rnacentral:rRNA from 1 species
CAGCCGCCGCGGGAAUACGUAGGUGGCGAGCGUUGUCCGGAAUCAUUUGGCGUAAAGGGAGCGCAGGCGGGCAUGUAAGUCUUUCUUAAAAGUUCGGGGCUCAACCCCGUGAUGGGAAAGAAACUACAUGUCUUGAGUACAGGAGAGGAAAGCGGAAUUCCCAGUGUAGCGGUGAAAUGCGUGGAUAUUGGGAGGAACACCAGUGGCGAAGGCAGCUUUCUGGACUGCAACUGACGCUGAGGCUCGAAAGCCAGGGGAGCGAACGGGAUUAGAUACCCCCGUAGUCCCUGUCUCUUAUACC